AUGUAGACAGUCACAGAGGACAGAGUAACGUGAGGAAAAUUCCACAACAGUUGUGUUGGCAACCCUGCAGCUCCAUUACCAUCCACUGAGGGGCAGUGCAGCAGUUUGCAGCCACUGUGGACCAGAGAGAGAAAAUGAAAUAAAAGUGGGGAUAAAUCAGGAAAACCGGCACACAUGAAGAAGAGUCAGACCCGUUUAUGCUGUGAUUUUCUGGACACGACCGUCCCUGACACCGGAUAGAUGAGGCUAAUCUCAGCCGCAGGCAGACUGUCAGAAAGCUUUGCUGAAGCUCUGGGUGUAAAAUGGCGCUCGGCUGCCCUGCGCUGUUUUUCUUCCUCUACCGCUCCAUUCUUUCUCUCUGU